rnacentral:rRNA from 1 species
UACAGAGGUCUCAAGCGUUUGUUCGGAUUCAUUGGGCGUAAAGGGUGUGUAGGUGGCGCCGUAAGUCGGGUGUGAAAUUUCGGAGCUUAACUCCGAAACUGCAUUCGAUACUGCGGUGCUUGAGGACUGGAGAGGAGACUAGAAUUCAUGGUGUAGCAGUGAAAUGCGUAGAGAUCAUGAGGAAGACCAGUGGCGAAGGCGGGUCUCUGGACAGUUCCUGACACUGAGACACGAAGGCCAGGGGAGCAAACGGGG